CCCCUCUCAGGGUCGCACCUGGAGAGUUUCCAGUGCUCUACCAGUCACUACUACAGGAGGGUGAGUCAAGCAGAGAUGUACCCAUUCCAUUCCUAGCUGGAACAGUGGCUAGUGAAUGGAAGGCAAUCUGCUAAAUGU
rfam:Ornithorhynchus anatinus chromosome 1, whole genome shotgun sequence.